rnacentral:rRNA from 1 species
UUACCAGGGUUGACAUGCAAGUGGUAGGAAUCCGAAGGUGACCGACCCUUCGGGGAGCUUGCACAGGUGCUGCAUGGCUGUCGUCAGCUCGUGUCGUGAGAUGUUCGGUUAAGUCCGCUAACGAGCGCAACCCUCGUCGUGUGUUAUACGUGUCACACGAUACUGCCGGUAUCAAGCCGGAGGAAGGUGGGGAUGAUGUCAAGUCAGCAUGGCCUUUAUAUCCUGGGCUACACACACGCUACAAUGGCAGAUACAAUAGGUUGCGAAACCGCGAGGUGGAGCCAAUCCUCAAAGUCUGUCUCAGUUCAGAUUGUAGGCUGCAACUCGCCUGCAUGAAGUUGGAGUUGCUAGUAAACGCAGGUCAGCUAUACUGCGUUGAAUACGUUCCCGGGGGUUU